ACUGGAGUUUGAUCCUGGCUCAGGACGAACGCUUGCGGCGUGCCUAAGAAAUGCAAGUCGAACGGGGACUUCGGUCCUAGUGGCGAACGGUCGUGUAACACGUAAGCAACCUGCCCUGAAGUGGGGGACAACAUCACGAAAGGGGUGCUAAUACCGCAUGUGGUCACGAGUCGGCAUCGACUUGUGUCUAAAGAUUUAUCGCUUCAGGAUGGGCUUGCGGCCUAUCAGGUAGUUGGUGGGUAAUGGCCUACCGAAGCCGACGUACGGGUAGCUGGUCUGAGAGGACGAU
rnacentral:rRNA from 1 species